rnacentral:rRNA from 1 species
GUCAGCAGCGAUAGCACGUUGAAGGCACCAGUUCACAGUAGAUCACUAAAGUUAAGCAACUUUGGGAGUUGUUAGCAUCUGGAAGGGUGACCAUGCAUCUGGGCAAUCGCGUGCCACUGGUU